UAGGGAAUAUUGCACAAUGGGGGAAACCCUGAUGCAGCGACGCCGCGUGAGUGAUGAAGGCCUUCGGGUCGUAAAGCUCUGUCGUAUGGGACUAACAAAAUGAAGGUACCAUGCAAGAAAGGAUCGGCUAACUUCGUGCCAGCAGCCGCGGUAAGACGAGGGAUCCUAGCGUUGUUCGGAAUCAUUGGGCGUAAAGCGGGUGUAGGCGGACUUUUAAGUCAGGUGUGAAAUCCCAGGGCUCAACCCUGGAAGUGCACUUGAUACUGCAAGUCUUGAGUGUGGUAGAGGCUAUUAGAAUUCUUGGUGUAGUGGUGAAAUACGUAGAUAUCAAGAGGAAUACCGGAGGCGAAGGCGGAUAGCUGGGCCAACACUGACGCUGAGACCCGAAAGCGUGGGGAUCAAACAGGAUUAGAUACCCAGUAGUCCCUGAGCGGGCUGGCAAGGCGCAU
rnacentral:rRNA from 1 species